rnacentral:tRNA from 1 species
GCCCCGGUGGUGAAAUUGGUAGACACCGCGGACUUAAAAUCCGCUGCUUCCUGAAUAAGGGGCGUGCCGGUUCGACCCCGGCCCGGGGCACCA